AGAGUUUGAUCCUGGCUCAGAUUGAACGCUGGCGGCAUGCUUUACACAUGCAAGUCGGACGGCAGCACAGAGAAGCUUGCUUCUUGGGUGGCGAGUGGCGAACGGGUGAGUAACAUAUCGGAACGUACCGAGCAGUGGGGGAUAACUAAUCGAAAGAUUAGCUAAUACCGCAUAUAUUCUGAGGAAGAAAGCAGGGGACCAUUUGGCCUUGCGCUGUUUGAGCGGCCGAUAUCUGAUUAGCUAGUUGGUGGGGUAAAGGCCUACCAAGGCGACGAUCAGUAGCGGGUCUGAGAGGAUGAUCCGCCACACUGGGACUGAGACACGGCCCAGACUCCUACGGGAGGCAGCAGUGGGGAAUUUUGGACAAUGGGCGCAAGCCUGAUCCAGCCAUGCCGCGUGUCUGAAGAAGGCCUUCGGGUUGUAAAGGACUUUUGUUAGGGAAGAAAAGGAUAGUGUUAAUACCAUUAUCUGCUGACGGUACCUAAAGAAUAAGCACCGGCUAACUACGUGCCAGCAGCCGCGGUAAUACGUAGGGUGCGAGCGUUAAUCGGAAUUACUGGGCGUAAAGCGAGCGCAGACGGUUACUUAAGCAGGAUGUGAAAUCCCCGGGCUCAACCUGGGAACUGCGUUCUGAACUGGGUAGCUAGAGUAUGUCAGAGGGGGGUAGAAUUCCACGUGUAGCAGUGAAAUGCGUAGAGAUGUGGAGGAAUACCGAUGGCGAAGGCAGCCCCCUGGGAUAACACUGACGUUCAUGCUCGAAAGCGUGGGUAGCAAACAGGAUUAGAUACCCUGGUAGUCCACGCCCUAAACGAUGUCGAUUAGCUGUUGGGCAGCUUGACUGCUUAGUAGCGUAGCUAACGCGUGAAAUCGACCGCCUGGGGAGUACGGUCGCAAGAUUAAAACUCAAAGGAAUUGACGGGGACC
rnacentral:rRNA from 1 species